UUGCACCUUCCCAGCCGCGCGCUUCACUGGGCUGUCGGAAGCAUCUGCUGUGUCGACGGGCGACAGAACACAAAGGGGGGGCAGCCACCGUUAGUCGCACAGCCAAACAACAAGAGUCCACGCUCUCCAAACAACAAAGUCAAUUCUGCACGAGAGGCUCGCGGUCCUCACUUCCGCUUUCUGGCCGGCUCCGUAGUUUGGUGUCAGGCCGGGGGUCCGUGAGUCGGUCUCUGAGUCACCUUUGAGCUCAUCUGUGCGUCUGUGAGUCAGGCACAUUUGAGUGGGACUCGCACUCUGGCUCGCAGGUGCCAAGAGCAAAAGGGUGGUGUACCCGGGGUGCCGCGUAGAGAGCAGUACACUUCAGCCCCCUGUGUGACUGUUCGUCAGCCACCACCUCGAGACGGCGACGACAACUGCAGCAUUGAAGGAGUUGCCACCGAUGAAUAAAGUAUGCACAUGCAGGCUGCGCUAGGGCUACUGCUGUCUCUACUGACCUUGGUGACCAAAGGCCGGGUGGAAAGACGCGAGAGUCCGCGCAGCAAAGUCCUGAGGGCGAUCCUCCUCCAACAAACAAACUAUGAGGUCAUGUCCAAGAG